rnacentral:rRNA from 1 species
UGAUUCCUACGGGAGGCAGCAGUGGGGAUUUUGACAAUGGGCGCAAGCCUGAUCCAGCCAUUCUGCGUGCAGGAUGAAGGCCUUCGGGUUGUAAACUGCUUUUGUACGGAACGAAACGGUCUGCCCUAAUACGGCAGGCUAAUGACGGUACCGUAAGAAUAGGCACCGGCUAACUACGUGCCAGCAGCCGCGGUAAUACGUAGGGUGCAAGCGUUAAUCGGAAUUACUGGGCGUAAAGCGUGCGCAGGCGGUUAUAUAAGACAGAUGUGAAAUCCCCGGGCUCAACCUGGGAACUGCAUUUGUGACUGUAUGGCUAGAGUACGGCAGAGGGGGAUGGAAUUCCGCGUGUAGCAGUGAAAUGCGUAGAUAUGCGGAGGAACACCGAUGGCGAAGGCAAUCCCCUGGGCCUGUACUGACGCUCACAUGCACGAAAGCGUGGGGAGCAAACAGGAUUAGAUACCCUGGUAGUCCAACGCCCUAAACGCAUGUCAACUGGUUGUUGGGUCUUCACUGCACUCAGUAACGAAGCUACACGCGUGAAGUUGACCGCCUGGGGAGUACGGCCGCAAGGUUGACAACUCAAAGGCAAUUGACGCAAUCCCGCGGC